AUGUGUGCUUCGAAAAGGGAAGGAGGAAUGGGCUUCCGUGAUCCAGAGGCUUUCAAUCAAGCGCUGCUAGCGAAACAAGCAUGGAGACUCAUUGAACAGCCCAACUCACUGUGUGCACGUGUGCUCAAGGCCCGCUACUAUAGUGCAGACUCCAUCAUAUCUGCUACUGCCCCGGCAUCGGCCUCGUUCACUUUCCGUAGCAUU
rnacentral:rRNA from 1 species